rnacentral:rRNA from 1 species
GUGUUGUUUGUUAAGGGCACACGGUGGAUGCCUUGGCAUUAUGAGCCGAUGAAGGACGUGUAAGGCCGCGAUAGGCCUCGGGGAGUUGCCAAUAGAGCGUUGAUCCGAGGGUGUCCGAAUGGGGAAACCUGGCCAUGGUUAUGUGUGGUUACCCAUCAGUGAAUUCAUAGCUGGUGUGGGGGUGACGCGGGGAAGUGAAACAUCUCAGUACCCGUAGGAGAAGAAAAUAAUUAAUGAUUCUGCUAGUAGUGGCGAACGAACGUGGAUGAGGCUAAACCGUAUGCGUGUGAUACCUGGCAGGGGUUGCGUGUGUGGUGUUGUGGGGCGUUGUUGGAGGAGGCUGCCGGCUCCUCGCUUGUUAUAUGUGUGUGUUAGCGGAAGUGGUUUGGAAUGGCCUGCCGUAGUGGGUGAGAGUCCCGUACGUGAAAACAUGUGCAUGCGAGUGGAUGAUGUUCCCGAGUAGCAGCGGGCUCGUGGAAUCUGCUGUGAAUCUGCCGGGACCACCCGGUAAGCCUAAAUACUUAUGAUGACCGAUAGCGGAUAGUACCGUGAGGGAAUGGUGAAAAGUACCCCGGGAGGGGAGUGAAAUAGUACCUGAAACCGUGUGCUUACAAUCCGUCAGAGCCUUUUUGUUGGGUGAUGGCGUGCCUUUUGAAGAAUGAGCCUGCGAGUCAGCGGCAUGUCGCGAGGUUAACCCGUGUGGGGUAGUCGUAGCGAAAGCGAAUCCUAAUGAGGGUGUUUUAAGUGGCAUGUCCUGGACCCGAAGCGGGGUGAUCUACCCAUGGCCAGUGUGAAGCAGCUGUAAGAGGUUGUGGAGGCGCGAACCCACUUAGGUUGAAAACUGAGGGGAUGAGCUGUGGGUAGGGGUGAAAGGCCAAUCAAACUCCGUGAUAGCUGGUUCUCCCCGAAAUGCAUUUAGGUGCAGCGUUGUGUGUUUCUUGCUGGAGGUAGAGCUACUGGUUGGUUGAGCGGGACUACAAUCUUAGCAAUGUCAGCCAAACUCCGAAUGCCGGUAAUGUUAAGCAUGGCAGUGAGACUGCGGGGGAUAAG